AAGCCAAUGAUGAUUAGCUAUACAUCUGGAAUUACCGUCAGAUUUACUUAUGACGAAAAUUGUCUGGCUUGCUGAGGCUUAUG
rfam:Sorghum bicolor cultivar BTx623 chromosome 4, whole genome shotgun sequence.